GGGGACAUGGUCUAGUGGUAUGACGGAUCCUUAGCAUAGUUGAAGCUUCUCGGAGCGGUCGCUAAGCAUGGAUCAGGUCCGGGGUUCGAUUCCCCGUGUCUCCA
rnacentral:tRNA from 1 species